GAGAAGUCAGGCCAGAUUAAGCCAUAGUACGGAAAGAGCUAUGCUGCCUGUGAGCCCCGUCCAAGGACGUUAAAUGAAGUCAGGCCGAAAGCCACGGAUUGAGCAAGCCGUGCUGCCUGUGGCUCCAUCGUGGGGAUGUAAAAACCCGGGAGGCUGCAACCCAUGGAAGCUGUACGCAUGGGGUAGCAGA
rnacentral:lncRNA from 1 species